AGAGUUUGAUCAUGGCUCAGGAUGAACGCUAGCUACAGGCUUAACACAUGCAAGUCGAGGGGCAGCAUGUUGGUUGCUUGCAACCAAUGAUGGCGACCGGCGCACGGGUGAGUAACGCGUAUCCAACCUACCCUUGUCCAUCGGAUAACCCGUCGAAAGGCGGCCUAACACGAUAUGCGGUUCUCAGCAGGCAUCUAACGAGAACGAAAUGUGAAGGAGAAGGAUGGGGAUGCGUCUGAUUAGCUUGUUGGCGGGGUAACGGCCACCAAGGCGACGAUCAGUAGGGGUUCUGAGAGGAAGGUCCCCACAUUGGAACUGAGACACGGUCCAAACGUCCUACGGGGAGC
rnacentral:rRNA from 1 species